ensembl:lncRNA
GCGUGAAAAUGCAUGUUUAUUGUGUUGAUUUUUUCCUGUUGUGGCCCGUUGGCCUUUACCCAGCUUUUCCACUAAAAAUCUCAUGCAUGCCUGAGCUAACUUAUCAUAUUUUUCUUUUAGUAAAGAGGCUAUGGGCUGCAAAGGAUACUGGGCACUUGGAGUCAGUUGUUGGACCAUACAAGUUAUUUGAUUCCUCUUUUCGAACACUGCAGGGGUCACGGUGGCUUUCUGAUGAGGUCAUUGAUGCAUACCUGCACCGUGUCAUUGAGAGACGAAAGGUAAUGAAGUGAGAUCGAUCAAUAAACGACGGAGGCUCCAGAAAAGUGCAAUCAAACGAUGAGUUUAUUAACACAGGAGAACAACCAUCAGCAUAUGGCCUGUUUUGCUCUGACAGUAAUACACUGGGUUCUGGUUUUAUAGCAUAGAGGAUCACGCCCCC